rnacentral:misc_RNA from 1 species
ACCGAUGACGGCGACUACAACGUCAAGCUGCGUAACCUCGUACGCUUCCUCGAAGACGGCGACAAGACGAAAAUCACGUUGCGUUUCCGCGGUCGCGAAAUGGCGCACCAGGAAAUCGGCAUGCGCAUGCUCGAGCGCCUGCGCACUGACCUCGACGAAGUCGGCGCGGUCGAGCAGAUGCCGAAGAUGGAAGGGCGCCAGAUGAUCAUGGUGCUGGGCCCGAAAAAGAAGAAGUAAGCAGCGCGCUGCGCAUCGUUCGGUGCGCAACGUCGAUGCUGUCGUGCAGAACAGGCAGUACCCGUCGGUGAUCGACGGA